rfam:Lachnoclostridium sp. An169 An169_contig_4, whole genome shotgun sequence.
GCUACCUUGGCGCAGUCGGUAGCGCGCAUCCUUGGUAAGGAUGAGGUCGGCGGUUCAAGUCCGCUAGGUAGCU